rnacentral:rRNA from 1 species
ACCUCUAGCAUUACUAGUAUUAGAGGCACUGCCUGCCCAGUGACAUAUGUUCAACGGCCGCGGUAUCCUGACCGUGCAAAGGUAGCAUAAUCAUUUGUUCCCUAAAUAGGGACUUGUAUGAAUGGCCUAACGAGGGUUUAACUGUCUCUUACUCAUAAUCAGUGAAAUUAACCUCUUCGUGAAGAGGCGAAGAUGCCCCAAUAAGACGAGAAGACCCUAUGGAGCUUUAAAUCUAAUAGCCUAAGCACUCCAUCAAGACUCUACUAGAGAUAUAAACUAAAGCUAACAGGUUAUAAAUUUUGGUUGGGGUGACCUCGGAGCACAUAAUAACCUCCGAAUGAUUUUAAUCAAGACAUAACUAGUCUAAAUUUUAACUCAUCUAUUGACCCAAAUUAUUGAUCAACGGAACAAGUUACCCUAGGGAUAACAGCGCAAUCCUACUCAAGAGUUCCUAUCGACAGUAGGGUUUACGACCUCGAUGUUGGAUCAGGACAUCCAAAUGGUGUAACCGCUAUUAAUGGUUCGUUUGUUCAACGAUUAAAGUCCU